AAAAUCUUAAAAUAGGUUUUUGACCAAAAGAACACAAAAAAAAAAAAGGGAAUUUGCAUUAGAUAACAAAAAUAAGAAGUAUAAUUAGCUAAAUGGCUAUGCGACUGUACAUUUUCCAUAAUCCCAACAAUAACCCUAUUGAAGCUCUCGGACAUAGGUCUGACAAAACUCCUACCUUUAUCCUCCAAGCAGCUUUUGAAAUAAUUAAACAGAAAUUGAAACAAACAUUAUUAUCACUCAAGUGCAAAAAACAGAGAAAAUAAAAACCUCAUCUCAUUUUUCUAUUUUUUAAAAACUUUUAUUCUCCCCUAAAGAUAGUUAUCUCUUGGAUCUCGAGAUGGUGUCUUCCUCACAUCGUGAAGAGAUAUUCAAAUAGCAACAAUCCCAACAAAAAAAAAUUGAGUCUUUCUAGUGAAGAAAAAGAAAAAAAAAGUCAGACCCUUUACAUAUGGGUUCGUUGAUUAGAUCUUCAGUUCUUUUUCUGCAAUGGGUAUUGCAGCAGCGGAUUGGAAGUUUCAUGUUUUAGUUGUUGAUGACAGUUUAUUUGAUUGGAAACUCAUAGAGAGAUUGGUUCGGGUUUCUGGCUAUAAGGCUUUAGAGUUUCUGGGUUUAAGACAAGGUAUUGAGAGUAACGACCCAAUCAGCUAUUUCUUCAUCUCCUCAGGAAGUAGAAGUGAAUUUUACCAUUAUAUGAUUGGUUGUGAUUUGCUCAAGAAAGUUAAGGUAUUUGUUAUGAUCCACCUAGGCUUAUAGGUUCAAUGUUAGGACACCCAAUGUCAAAUUAAGAGAUUGAGUAGAGUUUCCCAACCCCACAAAAGUGUCUUCAGCUCUCCUCUGGCCAUCCAAGACUGCUUGUGAUCCAACUAAACCCAUCCACGAUGAUUCAUUUAUGAAUUCAAAUUGACAACAAUGGCUUAACAUUGGAGAAUAUGACCGACGGUGACAACAAUGAAGAUAGCAAGAACGGCGGAGGAUGUUGAGUUUUGAUGGUGGUUGUGAUUAAGGUUUCUUGCUGAUUGUUCUUGCCUUAAACGAAAAAUAUAGCAGUUGCGAUCACCAUCUCCCCCUUCACUAUUCUCUUCCAAGCACGCGCGUGUACUCACGCUGCCAAUGAGUACCUUUCCAGUAAAACAUAUCUGGCUACAAUUUAAGUAUAUCUUGAUAUAGACCCGGUUUUAAAGCAAAAUAACCGGUUACACACAUAUCUUAAUGCAUAAUAUUACAUGUUGUAUCCAUGAUUAACUUUGUAAUACACGGUUAUACUCACAUAUACAAUUAUUCUAUCUCUUUUAUUA